CGGAAGAGAUAAGUGCUGAAAGCAUCUAAGCACGAAACUUGCCCCGAGAUGAGUUCUCCCUGAGACUUUAAGUCUCCUGAAGGAACGUUGAAGACGACGACGUUGAUAGGCCGGGUGUGUAAGCGCAGCGAUGCGUUGAGCUAACCGGUACUAAUGAACCGUGAGGCUUAACCUU
rnacentral:rRNA from 1 species